CUCUUUUAUCUUCUCUUCUCUUUUCUUGUGUCUGUUCCUCCUAGAAUUUAAUCCUUCCUCAUCUUUUUGAAGAUAGAAGCACAAGUAAGAUUUUUGCAACAAACCAUACAAUAUGUUCUUAGCAAUUUAUACAUAUAAGGCAAGCUUGGGUAGUGUGUGGGUGUUUGAGGAAGUUAGUAGGCUCCUUCCUUGAGAAUUGAGAAGGAGUUUUUGAUGAUGAGAAAGGAUUUGUAUGGUUCAAAUGUGGGCUAUGGUGUUUCUAAUGCUUGAAGUUGAUUCUGUGAAACUUUAUACUAAAGAGUUGUAUUUCAUAGGAGUGAUUUGUGUGUAUGUAAUGUAGAUACAUAUAUUUGAGUGAAUGGUAUCUUGUAACAGCAAGUGAUAGUCUUAAGAUUUGGAAUUGUUUUAUAACUAGUUUAGUGGAUAUCAUUGGGCGCCCUAACCCUA